UCGAGAAUCUUCGGCAAUGGGCGCAAGCCUGACCGAGCGACGCCGCGUGCGGGAUGAAGGCCUUCGGGUUGUAAACCGCUGUCAGUGGGGAGGAAGGCUCCGUGAAGAACGGAAUUUGACCUAUCCGCAGAGGAAGCAUGGGCUAAGUUCGUGCCAGCAGCCGCGGUAAGACGAACCAUGCAAACGUUAUUCGGAAUCACUGGGCUUAAAGGGUGCGUAGGCGGUGCGGAAAGUUGGGUGUGAAAUCCCUCAGCUUAACUGAGGAACUGCGCUCAAAACUUCCGUGCUCGAGGGAGAUAGAGGUGAGCGGAACUUAGGGUGGAGCGGUGAAAUGCGUUGAUAUCCUAAGGAACACCGGUGGCGAAAGCGGCUCACUGGAUCUUUUCUGACGCUGAGGCACGAAAGCUAGGGGAGCAAACGGGAUUAGAUACCCCUGUAGUCC
rnacentral:rRNA from 1 species